rnacentral:rRNA from 1 species
UACGUAGGGUGCAAGCGUUAAUCGGAAUUACUGGGCGUAAAGCGUGCGCAGGCGGUUUUGUAAGUCUGUCGUGAAAUCCCCGGGCUUAACCUGGGAAUGGCGAUGGAGACUGCAAGGCUAGAGUUUGGCAGAGGGGGGUAGAAUUCCACGUGUAGCAGUGAAAUGCGUAGAGAUGUGGGGGAACACCGAUGGCGAAGGCAGCCCCCUGGGUCAAAACUGACGCUCAUGCACGAAAGCGUGGGGAGCAAACAGG